GAUGAACGCUGGCGGCGUGCCUAAUACAUGCAAGUCGAGCGAACGGACGAGAAGCUUGCUUUUCUGAUGUUAGCGGCGGACGGGUGAGUAACACGUGGAUAACCUACCUAUAAGACUGGGAUAACUUCGGGAAACCGGAGCUAAUACCGGAUAAUAUUUUGAACCGCAUGGUUCAAAAGUGAAAGACGGUCUUGCUGUCACUUAUAGAUGGAUCCGCGCUGCAUUAGCUAGUUGGUAAGGUAACGGCUUACCAAGGCAACGAUGCAUAGCCGACCUGAGAGGGUGAUCGGCCACACUGGAACUGAGACACGGUCCAGACUCCUACGGGAGGCAGCAGUAGGGAAUCUUCCGCGAUGGGCGAAAGCCUGACGGAGCAACGCCGCGUGAGUGAUGAAGGUCUUCGGAUCGUAAAACUCUGUUAUUAGGGAAGAACAUAUGUGUAAGUAACUGUGCACAUCUUGACGGUACCUAAUCAGAAAGCCACGGCUAACUACGUG
rnacentral:rRNA from 1 species